rnacentral:tRNA from 1 species
AUUUAAAUAUUUAAGUUUAAAAUAUUGAUUUGUGGGAUCAAUGAUAUAAAAUAUUUAUUUUAAAUC